CUGAGUCCUGUAGUCAAGAGCAUCCUAGUCUUUCCACCUGCCCAUCAUUCAUGCCGCCCUCCUACAUCCCUCACUAUCAUCUUUCUUGCCCAUAAUCAGUAACAAAAGAGGAUGCUGCCACUCACCUUGGCAAAACCUGCAGCUCCUUUACUCAUGCCCCUCUUGCCAUCCCUUUAUGGAAAUGACAGGUAAAUAAUGUACCCAAUAGGCUGUCCUUACAUGCAUAAAAGUUGUUCAGUCAUUGAUCCCCUGGCAUUACAAAUUGCUGGGGUUCUGUGUUUGGAAGUGUCUCUCACAAGCUGAAGAACUCAUCUGGGCAGAUAAGAAAAUUAAGGCAUGGAGAGAUUAACUAGCUUGUCCAGGGCUACACAGCUGCCAGUGGCCUCAGACGUAGCAGCCACAGAUCUUGGAAGUCUAGCUGCCAGUGGUCAACAGGGGACGCCCUGACUGAUCCCCGUUUCCCGGGCCUCCACUACCUGAGGUCGCACAGUGAAGCCUUUCACGGGUUAAAGACAAGGAAAGGAGAAACAAAAGAAGGAAUAAAGU